rnacentral:rRNA from 1 species
AGAGUUUGAUCCUGGCUCAGAUUGAACGCUGGCGGCAGGCCUAACACAUGCAAGUCGAACGGUAGCACAGAGAGCUUGCUCUCGGGUGACGAGUGGCGGACGGGUGAGUAAUGUCUGGGAAACUGCCUGAUGGAGGGGGAUAACUACUGGAAACGGUAGCUAAUACCGCAUAACGUCGCAAGACCAAAGAGGGGGACCUUCGGGCCUCUUGCCAUCAGAUGUGCCCAGAUGGGAUUAGCUAGUAGGUGGGGUAACGGCUCACCUAGGCGACGAUCCCUAGCUGGUGUGAGAGGAUGACCAGCCACACUGGAACUGAGACACGGUCCAGACUCCUACGGGAGGCAGCAGUGGGGAAUAUUGCACAAUGGGCGCAAGCCUGAUGCAGCCAUGCCGCGUGUAUGAAGAAGGCCUUCGGGUUGUAAAGUACUUUCAGCGGGGAGGAAGGUGUUGGGGUUAAUAACCUCAGCAAUUGACGUUACCCGCAGAAGAAGCACCGGCUCCUCCGUGUCAAA